UCCAUUGAUUUCUUGGUCUUUUUCAAAUACAUGAGAUACGGUUCACAGUUGCUAGAAUCCUUGCUUGAAGAUUUCAGUGAGAUGGCUUUGAAGCAGAGCAAAAUAUAACACUUAUAACACAUUUAACAUUAAAAGCCAGUGACAACAUGUGUAACAGUGUAAGACAAGAAGAAAUAUGCUUCUGCAGCUCAACAAAUCCAUGCUCCAUCUCCACUACUUCUUCAGAUAUUAUACACAAAAUAAGAUAUAA
rnacentral:lncRNA from 1 species